AAAUAUUUCACUCACUUGAACAAUUCUAUAGAAAUUGUUUUCUCUUCACCUUCCUCUUUUUAUUCUUUUUUUUUUGAAGGAGCAUGUAUUGACAUGUAUUGAAAUAUUACAAACAUAAUUGCUUUUUUUUCUUCCGCUCAUCCUUCUAUUUUUUCUUCCUCUUUUUUUUUUCUUUUCAAUUUUCUUUUUUUUUUGUUUUUUGUGUUUUUUUUUCUUUUUUUGCCAGCUUCUGAAAUAUUACAAACAUAACUAUUCAACCCCACACAACUCCAAACAAGACUCUUUCAACCCUUUGAAUAAGGUGAUAACAUUGUUUUUCACUUCUCG
rnacentral:lncRNA from 1 species